rnacentral:rRNA from 1 species
GACGAACGCUGGCGGCGUGCUUAACACAUGCAAGUCACGGGGGCCCGCAAGGGUAACCGGCGAACGGGUGCGUAACACGUGAACAAUCUGCCUAGAUGUGGGGGAUAGCCGGCCCAACGGCCGGGUAAUACCGCAUACGCUCUUCGGGUGGCAUCACUUGAAGAGGAAACCUCCGGGGCAUCUAGAGGAGUUCGCGGCCUAUCAGCUAGUUGGUGGGGUAACGGCCUACCAAGGCAAUGACGGGUAGCUGGUCUGAGAGGAUGGCCAGCCACAUUGGGACUGAGAUACGGCCCAGACUCCUACGGGGGGCAGCAAUGGGGAAUAUUGCGCAAUGGCCGAAAGGGUGACGCAGCGACGCCGGGUGGGGGAUGAAGCAUUUCGGUGUGUAAACCCCUGUUGCUCGGGACGAACAAGCGAUUUCGAUCGCUCUGACGGUACCGGGUGAGGAAGCACCGGCUAACUCCGUGCCAGCAGCCGCAGUAA